rnacentral:rRNA from 1 species
CGCGUAGGCGGUUCGGCAAGUCAGAUGUGAAAGCCCUGGGCUCAACCCGGGAAUUGCGUUUGAGACUGCUGAGCUUGAAUUCGGGAGAGGUUGGUAGAAUUCCCAGUGUAGAGGUGAAAUUCGUAGAUAUUGGGAAGAAUACCCGUGGCGAAGGCGGCCAACUGGACCGACAUUGACGCUGAGGCGCGAAAGCGUGGGGAGCAAACAG